AGUCGAACGAGCGAGAGAGAGCUUGCUUUCUCGAGCGAGUGGUGAACGGGUGAGUAACGCGUGAGGAACCUGCCUCAAAGAGGGGGACAACAGUUGGAAACGACUGCUAAUACCGCAUAAGCCCACGGGUCGGCAUCGACCAGAGGGAAAAGGAGCAAUCCGCUUUGAGAUGGCCUCGCGUCCGAUUAGCUAGUUGGUGAGGUAACGGCCCACCAAGGCAACGAUCGGUAGCCGGACUGAGAGGUUGAACGGCCACAUUGGGACUGAGACACGGCCCAGACUCCUACGGGAGGCAGCAGUGGGGAAUAUUGCACAAUGGGGGAAACCCUGAUGCAGCGACGCCGCGUGGAGGAAGAAGGUCUUCGGAUUGUAAACUCCUGUUGUUGGGGAAGAUAAUGACGGUACCCAACAAGGAAGUGACGGCUAACUACGUGCCAGCAGCCGCGGUAAAACGUAGGUCACAAGCGUUGUCCGGAAUUACUGGGUGUAAAGGGAGCGCAGGCGGGAAGACAAGUUGGAAGUGAAAUCUAUGGGCUCAACCCAUAAACUGCUUUCAAAACUGUUUUUCUUGAGUAGUGCAGAGGUAGGCGGAAUUCCCGGUGUAGCGGUGGAAUGCGUAGAUAUCGGGAGGAACACCAGUGGCGAAGGCGGCCUACUGGGCACCAACUGACGCUGAGGCUCGAAAGUGUGGGUAGCAAACAGGAUUAGAUACCCUGGUAGUCCACACCGUAAACGAUGAUUACUAGGUGUUGGAGGAUUGACCC
rnacentral:rRNA from 1 species